UCAAACUAGGAUUAGAUACCCUAUUAUGAUGAGCUCAAAAAUCUGUUGAAGCACUAAAGCCUUUUGGCUAAAACUUAAAGAGCAUGGCGGCGGGCAAAAUUUUCAGGGGAACUUACCUGGUAAUUGAUAACCCACAAGAAGCGCUUCGAGCCCUAACCGUUUGUAUGCCGCCGUCUCAAGGUGUCGUCUAAGAUAGCCCCUAACCCCAUGAAGGGAAAAGACAGGUCAUGGUGCAGCUAAUGGGCCCGAGCAGGGCGAGUUACAAUUAGAGCUGCUAUCGAACACUGGAACUAAGUGUCCCGUAGAAGUUGGACUUGAAAGUAACAAGUAAGAAAAUAUCUUUUGAAUUCUUCUUUGCUCGUGCA
rnacentral:rRNA from 1 species